GCCAGGGUGGCAGAAUCCGGUAUUGCGCUGGUCUUGAAAACCAGUUCCCGCAAGGGAUUUAGGGCUCGAAUCCCUACCCUGGCG
rnacentral:tRNA from 1 species